UUGAUGUUACUGACGUUUUUAUCUUUGAUUUGUUGUGCAAUGUUUUAGGUAAGGUUCACGGUUCAUUGGCUCGUGCCGGUAAGGUGAGAGGACAGACACCUAAAGUCGCUAAGCAGGACAAGAAGAAGAAGCCACGUGGUCGUGCUCACAAGCGUCUUCAGCACAACCGCCGUUUCGUCACCGCCGGUAAUAAAUAUUUUCCCUUUUUCUCUUAGAUUUUAUGACUGAUUAAGGACAUUAGUUAGUUGGCACUUGUGUCUGAAUACAUUAUCGUUAUUGAAUAAUGUAAUCGUUGCUAGUACUUAUGGUUCUUCUUGGUAACAUAUCCACAGUUUAUAAAGUCUUGUAUAACAUAUGUUAGUGAUUCUCUUCUUUGCUAGCAUGUUAAGAGUAUCAGCCUCUGUAAUGAUUCUUGUUAACCAAACUAACUACAUUGUACAUACAAAGAAACCAUCACGGUCCAUUUUCUAGAUUCAUUCAACCAAGUUGUAUGUGCAUUUAAUUUCCGUUUUGUAGAUUCCUCCAUUUUUGGUUUACAUCCUAUAUAGCUUAUCAUAUGUGAAAUGAGACUUUUGUAAUUUGCAGUGAAUUUUUGUUGCUUAUGAAUAUUUAAUUGUCACAAAAAAGUAUAAACUUCAACACUAAACAAAGUGAUUCUUAAAAGUUUUUUCUUGAUUUCUUGUUUGCAGUUGUUGGAUUUGGCAAGAAGAGAGGACCCAACUCUUCUGAGAAAUAGAUGAUGAACGCAUUGGAGUUGAAGUUUUGAGUUUUUAUUUUCCAAAAAAUAUCGUACUUCUUUAAUGUUGUAAGACUGCAAUUUUCUCAAUCAAAUCGACUUUUUUGAUAAUUUGUUCUAAUUCAUUCAAUGCUCGGUAACGUAAACUACAAACCUCAUCAUAGAAACUGCCUAGUCUAUGAAAAUCAUGUAACAUGGAGCCGUGGAGGGAUUAGUAUGAGCUGUAACGUAGUUUUAACUGCGGUAGAGUGAUUUAAAACAAGAAGCAAACUGUUAGUUUUAUCAUUUGUUUUAAUCAAACAAAAGAAAAGUUUUUACAAGUAAAUAAACAUAAGCUAAAGAUACAAAGCUAAAAAGUUUCUUUUAGCAUCUGAUGUUAACAAUAAAAGAAACGGUAGAGAAGAAGAAACACUAUAACAACACUGUACAUACAAAGGAAACCAUCACGGUUUUUCUUUUACUUCCAGACCUUGAUCGCUCCAUCUCUGCUGCUUGAUAUUAACAGUCUCUGGUUCAGCUUCACUGAUGCCAGAGACUGAACUGAGUCACGGUGACAUCCUGCUGUGUCUGUUGCAGCCGCUGCAAGUACUGCCUUUGCCGUCAGUUUGGUUGCCAGAGGCCGCCUCAUUGUCUCCUGCCAAAGACACACGAACAAUUGCAUUACAAAAGUUAGUCAAGCGCUUAACGAUAGUUAUAGUGUGGUGUGACCUUGAACUGUUACGAUUAGUGUGUUGCGUCUAAUCAAAGAUAAGAGUUAAUCAACGGACCUGAACAAACUGCACUCCAGAGUUGGUUUUGAGUUCGUAGAAAUCAUCAUUUACGACUCCCUUCAAACUCGGACCACAGAUACAGUAACUUCUCUCAGGGCUAUGUUGGUUCAAACACACAGAAAACAAGAAUUUGCGUCAGGUUUUUGUUUAUUUAUCCACAAGAAGUGUGACAAAAUAUAAAGAACACAAGUUCAAGGUUUUAGAUUAAAGAACCUGGAGUAAUCCCAACGCCGAAUCUUCAAGUCAGUACCACCUGUUAACAAGUCGCCUCCGGGUAAAGGAAGCAACGAGCGGAUACCAGGAAGACGAGGAGGAGGCUCGUUCAACUCUUCGAUUCUAUACUUGGAGCUCAUGUUCUUGCGAAUAUUCGCCUUGGGAUUUGCCUUACUGCUUGGUAGCUUCCACUGAAACUCGGAAACAUUCGUCUCAUUUUCAUAGUUGGCUACUCUCCAUACCUACAGAAUCAGCUCAUUUAUAAGUCUCAAACUCAAUGCUAUGGUCUAAUUUAUUAAAACCUGAGUUACUUCCAUGGACUAACAUCAAAGUUGAAACCCCCAAUGACUAUUAAAACUAUCUAAAUCUGUUCCACUCUAUAGUUCAUAGUUUCUAUUCAAACUUGUAAGAUCCCAGUAAAAUGGUAAAACAACAUUACCUGUUGACAGAUGCCUCCAUCUGCAUUCCAGAGCGUAACUUCAUUGAAACCAGCAGCAACAUAAAUAAAAGGUCUCAUCGUGGUGGACAGCGAGACGCUCGGAGGAAGAAAGCAGAGACACAUCUUUUCUAUGGGGCAUAUUAUAGGGUAUUGCCACGAAUAUACAGGAACACGAAACCUCAAAUCCCAAAGAGUAAGCACUCCCCUUGAAGACCCAGACACGAACCAAUUCCCGCAUGGGCUUGUCACCAAAGAAGACACGUAUCCUUCUUCAGGGUUUGCUUUCAGCGUCCACGCAUCUAUAUCUGAUCUUGUAUCCCAAAGGUGGAUCCCACAGUUUUGGGUACUAUACAUUACCAUAGGGCCAGAUAGGCUAUCAGAGGUGUAGUUCAAAAGAGAAAGCAAAGCGCCUUCUUUAACAUCCUUGUUUUUGAUAUCAACAAUGCCUGAGUACUUCUCCACCACGUUCCCCAAGCCUCUGGAGAUAUGGUCAAUGGAAAACAUAUGUAACACACCAUCGGAGGCUCCAACGACAACUUGAGUUGAAUUCCUAAGCAUUGUUGUGCACAUCCCUCUGCUUCCCUCGAGAUGAUAUGUUAGCCUUGACCUGAACGAAAUGUCCUUUUCCAGCUUUCUAGAGUCCCACACCUUUACUGUAGAAUCAUCUGAUGCACUAACAAAGAAGCUAUGAUCGCUUGAAGUGGCAAUGUCGUUGACAGCAGAGCGGUGCUCUUGUAGAUGAGCGACUAAUACUCCACGAGGCUUCCAACCUGAAUCCGGAACCGACGUCCUCGACGGAGAUGGUUCUCCUACGAGAUCCGAUAUUGAAAGAGACAGAGUUUAUCAUAUUACGUAAGUGUACACGAAGCUGACGUCACAUAAGCAGAUAAUGAUAUAAAAGCCCAUUGGGCCAAUAUGGUGAAUUGAAUGGGCUUCUGAACUAUAAAAGCGGUUAAACACCAACUCAAAUAAUGGCGGGGAUUCUAACUAAGAAUAACAAUUUAAGCCCAUUAAGAGAUCACUAAUGGGCCGUAUCCGAACUGAUCGUCAUCGUCCUCAUCACUUAAAUAUCAUUCACGGAAGAAAACCCUAGUCCAUCAAAAGCUGUCGUCGUCACACAUUUGCCGGAGGUAGCGCCGAUCCAUUCGUCAAAACAACUAUGGGUGAGUUCUCUUGAGUCUGUUCUGGCUGAUUUUUUGUUGUUGUUGUUGAUGUUACUGACGUUUUUAUCUUUGAUUUGUUGUGCAAUGUUUUAGGUAAGGUUCACGGUUCAUUGGCUCGUGCCGGUAAGGUGAGAGGACAGACACCUAAAGUCGCUAAGCAGGACAAGAAGAAGAAGCCACGUGGUCGUGCUCACAAGCGUCUUCAGCACAACCGCCGUUUCGUCACCGCCGGUAAUAAAUAUUUUCCCUUUUUCUCUUAGAUUUU
rnacentral:lncRNA from 1 species